UAUGACAUACUUUGCUUUCUAUUCUCUUUUAUCCUUCCUCUAAUGCUUGAUAAGUGAUAAAAUUAAAGAGUAAUUGACUUCCCCGUACUCCUAUAUAUACUUUUAUGCUUCCUGAAGUUUUGAGUGUGCCUGAUGUUUUGAAUUUCUUUACUGUACAUCUUCAUGCAUUCAAACUGUUACAUAAAUAAAUGUACCUUAAUAGAAAUUAUGAUGCUCAAAAUGUCAUAGCCACAUACCAGCAAAAAUACCUUGUGAAUAAACUAAAACUUAAAUGAACUAUGUAUUUCAUUGUGACAGGAUAGUUAUCAACUUGCAUUG
rnacentral:misc_RNA from 1 species